rnacentral:rRNA from 1 species
UACGAAGGGUGCAAACGUUGCUCGGAAUUAUUGGGCGUAAAGCGCACGUAGGCGGCUUUGCAAGUCGGAUGUGAAAUCCCUCGGCUCAACCAAGGAAGUGCAUCCGAAACUGCAGAGCUUGAGUACCAAAGAGGAUCGCGGAAUUCCCGGUGUAGAGGUGAAAUUCGUAGAUAUCGGGAGGAACACCAGUGGCGAAGGCGGCGAUCUGGGCCUUACCUGACGCUGAGGAGCGAAAGCUGGGGGAGCGAACGAGG